AGUUCGCCGGUUCCUCGCGCAUCACCGCUUCCGUGACUUCGGCAAGCGUCCGCUCACGCGCAGCCGGAAAGAGAAAGGCA
rnacentral:sRNA from 1 species